rnacentral:rRNA from 1 species
UACGAAGGGUGCAAGCGUUACUCGGAAUUACUGGGCGUAAAGCGUGCGCAGGCGGUUAUGCAAGACAGAUGUGAAAUCCCCGGGCUUAACCUGGGAACUGCAUUUGUGACUGCAUGGCUGGAGUGCGGCAGAGGGGGAUGGAAUUCCGCGUGUAGCAGUGAAAUGCGUAGAGAUGUGGAGGAACACCGAUGGCGAAGGCAGCCCCCUGGGCUAACACUGACGCUCAUGCACGAAAGCGUGGGGAGCAAACAGG